UUAAAUGUAUCUGCGGAGGAUCUGGUCAAGUGGAGAUAAUCCAUGCAAAUCAGAAACUGGUUGUCAGUGUGUGGUUCCCGGAGAGGACUCAGCCUGAGGAGGUCACUCGUUCACAGCCGCUCCUCCCAUCCUAUCUCUCCCCUUAUUGCAGAACUGCUGUAUGUAUACAGUAGCAGAAAGGACUCAAUUGACUUCAACUGCUGCCUGGUUUUGCUUACAACUUUUUCUUAUAAAGGAACUUACCUCCAUCUGUCUCUUGAAGGUGGCUGGCUACUUCCUCUAAACUCCACAACUCAUUGGAAAGACUAUGGAGCCUACAUAGUUUCUAAAGACAAACGAUGAAUUUCAAAGAAUUUCUGGAUCCUGACACCACAGCUGGAUUUUUAUGUAAG